rnacentral:rRNA from 1 species
GGAAGAAGCAAAAUUAGAGCGUAUGGGGGAUGCCUAGACUCUCAGAGGCUACGAAGGACGUGAUAAGCUGCGAAAAGCUGCGGGGAGAUGCAAAUAAUCACAGAUCCGCAGAUGUCCGAAUGGGGAAACCUGUCUAGUUGAAGACUAGACUUAAGCGAACGCAGGGAACUGAAACAUCUAAGUACCUGUAGGAAAAGAGACCAAUAGGGAUUCCGUAAGUAGUGGCGAGCGAAAGCGGACGAGCCUAAAGCAUGGAAGUUAGUGGAAUUGUUUGGGAAAGCAAACCGAAGGAAGUGAGAGUCUUGUACACGAAAACGACCAUGUGGAAUCAAGUAGGGCGGAACCAGAGGAAUUCUGUCUGAAGAAGGCUGUACCAUCAGCCAAGGCUAAAUACUCCUGAGAGAUCGAUAGCGAAGAGUACCGUGAGGGAAAGGUGAAAAGAACCGCGAGUAGCGGAGUGCAAAGAACCUGAAACCAUACGUUUACAAGCGGUCGGAGCGCGAGCGACGGCGUGCCUUUUGCAUAAUGAGCCUACGAGUUAUACCUGUCUAUCAAGUUUAAGUGCUUAAGGCACGAAGGCGUAGCGAAAGCGAGUCUGAAUAGGGCGCUAGGUAGAUGGGAUAGACGCGAAACCGAGUGAUCUAUCCAUGGGCAGGUUGAAGUUGUGGUAACACACCAUGGAGGACCGAACCAGUUGACGUUGAAAAGUCUUUGGAUGACCUGUGGAUAGGGGUGAAAGGCUAAUCAAACUCGGAGAUAGCUCGUACUCCCCGAAAUGCAUUUAGGUGCAGCGUUUUGAAGUUUGUCAUGGAGGUAGAGCUACCGAUAGGGCUAGGGGGCUUCACCGCCUACCAACCCCUGACGAACUCCGAAUGCCAUGACAUGAACAAGGCAGUGAGGCUGCGGGUGCGAAGGUCAGCAGCCGAGAGGGGAACAACCCAGACCAUCAGCUAAGGUCCCCAAGUAUGGACUAAGUUGGAUAAACGAGGUGGGAAUGCAGUGACAGCUAGGAUGUUGGCUUGGAAGCAGCCAUUCAUUUAAAGAGUGCGUAACAGCUCACUAGUCGAGCGUUCCUGCGCGGAAAAUAAGCGGGCAUCAAGUCCAUCACCGAAGCUAUGGAUUAAUGGUAGGGGAGCAUUGUAGUAUCGGCGAAGGUUAGCUGUGAGGCUGAUUGGAGAGACUACAAAAGCAAAUGUAGGCAUGAGUAACGAUAAUUACGAUGAGAAAUCGUAACGCCGUAAGACUAAGGGUUCCGUGUUCUAUGCUAAUCAGAACCGGGUUAGUCGGGACCUAAGGGGUAGCCGAUAGGCGAACCUAAUGGAAAUAAGGUUAAUAUUCCUUAACCUGCAUACGAAUAAAGGGGACGGGGGUAUGUAGUUAGUGGGUACAGACGGAAUUGUGCGCGGAGAGGGAUACCUUGGUAUCGGUCGAACUAAUGAGUUACCCUCCAAGAAAAGCCGAAGUAUGCAGCUCGUACCGUAAACCGACACAGGUAGUCGAGGAGAGUAUCCUAAGGCGCUCGAGUGAUCCGUGGCUAAGGAACUAGGCAAAAUAGCCCCGUAACUUCGGGAGAAGGGGCGCUCCGCGAGGAGCCGCAGUGAAGAGGUCCAGGCGACUGUUUAACAAAAACACAGGGCUCUGCUAAAUCGAGAGAUGAAGUAUAGGGUCUGACACCUGCCCGGUGCUGGAAGGUUAAGGAAGGGGGUUAGCGCAAGCGAAGCUUUUGACUGAAGCCCCAGUAAACGGCGGCCGUAACUAUAACGGUCCUAAGGUAGCGAAAUUCCUUGUCGGGUAAGUUCCGACCUGCACGAAUGGUGUAACGAUCUGGACACUGUCUCGGCCACGAGCUCGGUGAAAUUGAAGUAUCGGUGAAGAUGCCGAUUACCCGCAAUGGGACGAAAAGACCCCGUGAACCUUUACUAUAGCUUCACAUUGUGCUUGAGUAUAAGAUGUGUAGGAUAGGUGGGAGACAGAGAAGUUGAGACGCUAGUCUUGAUGGAGUCGUCGUUGAAAUACCACCCUUCUUAUACUUAGGUUCUAACUCUGAGAGGAGGACAUUGUGUGGUGGGUAGUUUGACUGGGGUGGUCGCCUCCUAAAAAGUAACGGAGGCUCGCAAAGG